rnacentral:rRNA from 1 species
CAGUAGCCGCGGUAAGACAAAAGAUGCAAGCGUUAUCCGGAAUGAUUGGGCGUAAAGCGUCUGUAGGUGGCUCUUCAAGUCCACCGUCAAAUCCCAGGGCUCAACCCUGGACAGGCGGUGGAAACUACCAAGCUAGAGUACGGUAGGGGCAGAGGGAAUUUCCGGUGGAGCAGUGAAAUGCGUUGAGAUCGGAAAGAACACCAACGGCGAAAGCACUCUGCUGGGCCGACACUGACACUGAGAGACGAAAGCUAGGGGAGCAAAUGGGAUUAGAUACCCGUGUAGUCCCUGUCUCUUAUAC